UCGCUGCUACCGAUUGGAUGAUCCGGUGAAAUUUUCGGACUGUCGCGUGUCGUGCCGUUCGCGGCGCGCUCACGAUGGGAAGUUACUUGAACCUUAUUAUCUAGAGGAAGCAA
rnacentral:rRNA from 1 species